GCGCGAAAACUUUACAAUGCGAGCAAUCGUGAUAAGGGAACCCCGAGUGCCUGUAUACGCAGGCUGUUCAGAUGUCUAAAUAACAUCUGGAGAAAGGGCCGGGCAAGACCGGUGCCAGCCGCCGCGGUAAUACCGGCGGCUCGAGUGGUGGCCACUAUUACUGGGCUUAAAGCGUCCGUAGCUGGGUUGUUAAGUCUCCUGGGAAAUCUGCCGGCUUAACCGUCAGGCGUUCAGGAGAUACUGGCAAUCUCGGGACCGGGGGAGGUGAGAGGUACUCCGGGGGUAGGAGUGAAAUCCUGUAAUCCUCGGGGGACCACCUGUGGCGAAGGCGUCUCACCAGAACGGCUCCGACAGUGAGGGACGAAAGCUGGGGGAGCAAACCGGAUUAGAUACCCGGGUAGUCCCAGCUGUAAACGAUGCGCGUUAGGUGUGUCGAUAACCACGAGUUAUCGAGGUGCCGAAGGGAACUGUUAAACGCGCCGCCUGGGAAGUACGGUCGCAAGGCUGAAACUUAAAGGAAUUGGCGGGGGAGCACCACAACGGGUG
rnacentral:rRNA from 1 species